rnacentral:lncRNA from 1 species
UUUUGAAAGCAAGUGGCUGUGACUUUCCUCCAGCCAGGGUCCACCACAGUGGACUCAGAGUCUCAGAGUCAUCUUGGGAGCCCUGAAGUGCCUGAGUGCCAGAGCUGAUUUCUUCAGCCCAAUUGAAGCUGGUUGCUGACCUUGGUAUGGCCAAGAUUUGCUUUCACCUCUUGUCUGGCUCAAAGGUGGACCCCAUGAACUUCCCUGGGGACAGGAGACCUGAGUAUGGUGGGGUUCAUUUUUCCUCCUGAGCUUGCCUUAGCCCAAGGUCCAGUAGAUGCUGAGCCAUAAUCUUCUGCCUCACAAAGAGCUGGUUACUCCCAGAAAUCAGUUUCCCUUUGCUUCCUGCAUUGCUGCAUCAAUGCAAAGCAUCUAUAAAUCAUCUCCACAAAUGACCAAAGCCGCCUGGUCUUCAUCCGAGGUGAAACAGAGGUUUGGGGGUCCAGGUUAGAACUGUGUGACAGAUUUGGGACCCUCAACCUCUGCCCACCUCUUGCCUGGAGCAGCCCCCUGGCCCUUGUCUCUGCCCUGCACCUGGGCUCAGCUUCCCUCCGAGAAGCAAGACCAGCAUGGCUUCACGUUGUAAUGUGAGAGGGUUCUUGAGGACACAGAGCUCUCUGUGCUGCCAGAAUUACUGCAUGUGCUCCUCCAGAUGUUGAAGAAUAUUCCCUCCCAUCCCAAGUUACCCUGGGUAUUAUAUUUCCCUGGCUUGACAUUGUUAUGAAAUGUCAGAGCUUUGCAACUUGUCUGACUCUCUUUUGCAAUGUCCCCAAGGGAACAGAACAGCUUCCAAAGCACUGGAGCCCUACGGACUCGCACCAUCUUUCCCUCCGGAAGAACCUCAACAUCUCUGCGAGACAGGUCCCUAAGGCACCAUGUUGCACACAGUCCAGCUCUCCUGUUGCCAGGGUUCCAGCUGCCAGACAGUGGCAAAAGAAGGGUAAUUGAUACCAGUGUGGCAUUUUGGGGUCUUUUUCCUCCCUCUACAGAGGAAGUCUCUGCUUCUUGUCUCAUCUGGCAUGAAGAUACAGAUCUGAAAUUGGCCUGAUUCUGGCCUCUGUUGCUGGUGGCAGUGGGGAUCUUGAACUGCCAGCGUGGACCUUGCCACACUGAGCUGCAUCCAAGUGCUUUGAAGGGACUUCCAGUGGGGAUCUUGAACUGCCGGCGUGGACCUUGCCACACUGAGCUGCAUCCAAGUGCUUUGAAGGGACUUUUGCAGUGGACAACACCAGAAAGGAGGCUAAAAGAACCCCAGCUGUUGAGGGUAGUGCUCCUGGGAGGGGAUAGACUGGCCUCAUAGGAAAUGGAGACAUAAAGGAGACACUGUCCUGCUGCAGGCACUUGCCAGCACCCAGCUGCUGUCCCUCUUCUGCAGAGCUUCAAGAAACUCCUCUAAAUGGUUUUGGCUACACCAAAAAAAAGGUGUUUAAAAUGAAAAAUGUAACAGGAAUGAUAAUGCUAGUCUGAAAAAUGGGAAGGUAAUAAAAAACUCUUAAGUUUUCUUGUCUGCCUCAGGUUUGUGGGGCUGAGGAAUCACAGAAUCAUAGAAUGGCCUUAAAAAUCACCUAGUUCCAAUCUCCUUGCCAUGGGUGGGUAUGAAUGGGGAUGUGGUAGUGGUCCUGCUUGCCUGACCCUGCCCAGCUGAGCUCCCACACCCCAGCUCAGCUCCAGGGGCAGCUGCAGGUGUUUGUACCUCACAGUGCCUCUGUCUCCAGGAAAAAACUCUGCUGGUCAAGGUCUUUCUGCCUUGCUAAAGACUUCAUACCCUGGGGGUUUUAAAGAGUGGUUUGUACCAUAGAGGAAAUCCCACAAGUGAGACCUCCUUGCAAAGCCUGGACCCUGUGCCAAGAUCCACGGGCUCAAUUUUGGCCAGAGAUGUUUUAGAAAAGUCACAGAGGAAAGUCCAAAGGAAGUAUUGAAAUGUCUGCAUGGCCUCUUCUCCUUGCAGCAGAGCAGAUUUGUGGGGACCUGCUGCCCGCCCUGCUCUGAGCAUCACCCACUGCAUUGCCUGGCUUGGAUGUCACACCCCACCUGCUCACUUCCAUGAGCCCUGCACCCUCCAGCCCAUGGCUUCCUCCUCACUCCUUGUUAGGACUGCAAAGGAAGCAAAUAAAACACAACACUGGCCUUUUCAUGCCACAGACCUUUCCCAGCUUUGACAUAAAUUCAUGAGCUGUAACAGGCACAUGCUGAAGCCUUGGGUUUGAUUAAAUGUCUUUCUCUUUGCCAAGGCCACCAGCAGGUUUGUGCUUGGUGUUUGGGAUGCAAAGCAUUUUUAUACAAAGGGGAUUUGGACCCUCAUGGCUGUGGGCUGUGUGCACAUGUGUGUGUGGGGAUGAUGGAGCAGCACGCUGAGCAAUGCCUGGCUGUGCACAGGGGUCCCUGGUGGUCCUGCUGGGCUGCACAGGG